rnacentral:rRNA from 1 species
AGUGAACGCUGGCGGUAGGCCUAACACAUGCAAGUCGAACGGCAGCACAGUAAGAGCUUGCUCUUACGGGUGGCGAGUGGCGGACGGGUGAGGAAUACAUCGGAAUCUACUUUUUCGUGGGGGAUAACGUAGGGAAACUUACGCUAAUACCGCAUACGACCUACGGGUGAAAGCAGGGGAUCUUCGGACCUUGCGCGAUUGAAUGAGCCGAUGUCGGAUUAGCUAGUUGGCGGGGUAAAGGCCCACCAAGGCGACGAUCCGUAGCUGGUCUGAGAGGAUGAUCAGCCACACUGGAACGGAGACACGGUCCAGACUCCUACGGGAGGCAGCAGUGGGGAAUAUUGGACAAUGGGCGCAAGCCUGAUCCAGCCAUACCGCGUGGGUGAAGAAGGCCUUCGGGUUGUAAAGCCCUUUUGUUGGGAAAGAAAAGCAGCAGGUUAAUACCCCGCUGUUCUGACGGUACCCAAAGAAUAAGCACCGGCUAACUUCG